AGAUUGAACGCUGGCGGCGUGCUUAACACAUGCAAGUCGAUCGGUAACGCGGGGGCAACCCUGGCGACGAGAGGCGGACGGGUGAGUAACGCUUGGGAAUCUGCCCAUCAGCGGGGGACAACCCGGGGAAACCCGGCUAAUACCGCAUACGCUCCACGGAGGAAAGCAGGGGACCGCAAGGCCUUGCACUGAUGGAUGAGCCCAAGCCGGAUUAGCUAGUUGGCGGGUAACGCCCACCAAGGCGACGAUCCGUAGCUGGUCUGAGAGGACGAUCAGCCACACCGGAACUGAGACACGGUCCGGACUCCUACGGGAGGCAGCAGGUGGGAAUAUGGACAAGUGGGGAAACCCUGACUCCGAGCGACGCCG
rnacentral:rRNA from 1 species